UUUAAAAGUAGCAAAGCUUCAUAAUACCGAGGCUUGAAAAUAUGGAAGUUCCAUAUUUUCAAGCCUCGGUAUUAUGAAGCUUUGCUACUUUUAA